UAUAUAAUUAUAAUAUAACAUUUAUAUCUCAAAAUAUUCUAUUAAAAAACAGAUUUGUAAUAAUUCACAAGCUCUGACACCCCAUUAGUUUCCCAACCCUGGAAGCACACUAACAGCACAGAUUCACAUGAAAAACAUAGUGUUGUAGUGUGUCCCUGCAGGGUUCGUCAAACUUGCAAUUCUCAUAGCAAUGGUUGUUCAUAGCUGUAAAAUCACUCACUGUUCUGGAGUGCCAUGAAGAGAGAUUAUGUGUCUUACCCGAAACAUCACAUUGUGUCCAUUCUCCGUUGGUCUGAAGCAGAUAUCUAAAAAAAAGCAGAAAAUGUGUUGAAAUCUUGAAUAAAACAUCUUCAUCAAGGACAUUGAUACUCUCUGCACCCUUACAUCAUCUCUGCACCAUACUGAAAAACAUCUUCAGCAGAAUCUGCUCCAUGACCGCACACUCGAUGUGUGCAUGACCGGACACUAUGGAUCAAGAAGACAUUCAAUCUCUCUUCUCGGGCAGUUGUGGCCUAAUGGUUAAAGAGUCAGACUUGUGACUCGUUGCCAGUUUGAGGCUGAAUGCCAGCAGGUUGUGACUGAAAUCUCACAAAAAAACAAAAAAAUCUGUAAAAACAAAAAAAAAACGUAAAAACAAAAAAAACAGUAAAAAAAAACACAUUAAAAUUAACUA